UAAAAAUAACAAAAAGUUAAAAAUUUAUUUUAUUUAAUGAAAAAAUUAAUACUUUUUCUAAUAUGAAU
rnacentral:tRNA from 1 species